rnacentral:rRNA from 1 species
AACGAACGCUGGCGGCAGGCUUAACACAUGCAAGUCGAACGCUCCGCAAGGGGAGCGGCAGACGGGUGAGUAACGCGUGGGAAUCUACCAAUCCCUACGGAAUAACGCAUGGAAACGUGUGCUAAUACCGUAUACGUCCUUCGGGAGAAAGAUUUAUCGGAGAUGGAUGAGCCCGCGUUGGAUUAGCUAGUUGGUGGGGUAAGGGCCUACCAAGGCGACGAUCCAUAGCUGGUCUGAGAGGAUGAUCAGCAACACUGGGACUAAGACGCGGCCCAGACUCCUACGGGAGGCAGCAGUGGGGAAUAUUGGACAAUGGGCGCAAGCCUGAUCCAGCCAUGCCGCGUGAGUGAUGAAGGCCCUAGGGUUGUAAAGCUCUUUCACCGGUGAAGAUAAUGACGGUAACCGGAGAAGAAGCCCCGGCUAACUUCGUGCCAGCAGCCGCAGUAAUAC